rnacentral:rRNA from 1 species
UACGUAGGGUCCGAGCGUUAAUCGGAAUUACUGGGCGUAAAGCGUGCGCAGGCGGUUUUGUAAGCCAGAUGUGAAAGCCCCGGGCUCAACCUGGGAACUGCAUUUGGGACUGCAAGGCUGGAGUACGGCAGAGGGAGGUGGAAUUCCACGUGUAGCAGUGAAAUGCGUAGAUAUCUGGAGGAACACCGGUGGCGAAGGCGGCAUCCUGGACCAACACUGACACUGAGGAGCGAAAGCCAGGAGAGCAAACGGG